rnacentral:tRNA from 1 species
GUAUUAGUUAGUUUAAUUAAAACAUUAGAUUGCAAAUCUAAAGAAAUUUUCACU